UAGGAAGUGGGGCCGAAUCGUCUGUGCAAGGGUCUGUGGGGAGGGUUUUGGGUACCAAGGUUGGGAGGUGGGAAGUUUCUCCAGCAUGUCAAAAACUGAAAAUGUCCAAGUAAACUUAAGCUGUGGCAUCAUCGCAGUGGAAUUCUGAAGAGGAUUGUUGUUUAGGCAUCUGCCAACCAAGUUUUGUUUCAUUUGCUUGUUUUUCAACAUCCAGAAACUGUGGGAUUGAGUUUGACGUCAAGGUUUUUUCUCUUCAAUAAAUUUGGAUUAAGUCACAGAUGCAGAUGAUGUCUCCACACUUGAAGACCAACAGCAGGCCUAGGAUCAGUAUUUCAAACUUUUCUCCACUUUCUCACCAUUACAAAGCAAGACUGAUCCAGACCAGGACCCACAAAUAUGAUACUCCGCAUAGAUCUGCAUUUUACCACUUGUACUGGAACCUGUAAUGUUGAUAAAUGGCUAUCGUAUGUGUUGAGUAAAUGGCAGCAGAUGUAUGUGUUUAUGAGGGUUGAUGAUGGCUGAAUUGAUGGAUAAAAUUAAAGGUGCUCGACAGGGUUCUUUGAGUGAUACCAUAGGGAACAAAUUUAUGUUUUAAUCUUGACCUUGAAUCUAGUUCCAAUCUUGGACUUUGUAAUCCUUGGUGGGUGUGACACUACAUGGUCAAUCAAUUACAUGAACUGUUCCCUUAACUUCAAAAUCCAAGACUGGAACCUAGAUUCAAGGUCCAGAUUUGAAGGCCUGGGCCUUGGUAAAGUACCUUCAAAAACAUUUGUUUGUAGAACCAAAACUAGUCUUCAAAUCUGGACCUUAAAUCUAGUUUCUGUCCCUGGAUUUGUGAUCCUUGAUAGUGUGACACUACAUGGGGCGAUGGUGGCUCAGCUGUUAGAGCACUGGGCUAUUGAUUACAGAGCUGUGGGUUUAAUACCCAGGUUUGGAAAGCUGCCACUGUUGUUUGGGCCCUUGCACAAGGCCCUUAACUCUUACUGCUUCCUGGCCUCUCCUGCUCCAGGCAUAUGUGGUCACUAGUAAGUAUUCACUGCACGGAUGGGUUAAAACAAAGGCCACAUUCCAAAUAUAUUAAAUAUAGUUGUCUUGUCUUAAAUGGCCAAUCAAUGACAUCAGUUGUUAAUUGCUAAUUGCUAAUUUCCAAUGAUUACCUGAAUCCAGGACAAGAAACUGGAUGCAGAGUCCAGAUUUGCUGACCUGGGUCUUAGGGCAUCACUCAAAAAUCCUUGUAAAGGACGUUUAUUUUUAAGUAUGUAGGGGAUCUUGUGUUGAUAGAAGAUUACAUUGAUCCUGGACCAAAGGUAGAGUUGACACUGAAGAAGCAAGAAUGCGUAGAAUUCAGGGAAACUUAGAAAGUAUUCGAAGUGGACCAGUUAUGCAUAGUUUCUGGAAGAAAGAGACAGUCGUGGAACAUCUCUACAUUUAGAUGGGAACUACACUACAUGGGAAUUAUUAGUGAUACCAUAUUUAAACAGCAUCAAAUUCAAACCACUUCUUUUAAAAUAAGACUGCAAUUCAGACUAGUCUACAAGUCUUCCCCGUAGAGUAGUUCAUUCCAAGCCUAAAGACAAAUGCAAGAAGUCUCCCAAAUGGGGAAACAACAGCAACUGUCAUUUGUUCCUUUCCCUGAACAGAGAUCCUGCCUCCUGGCCUGUUUUCUCCUCAGCAGCAUCAAUCAAUGCUUGAGUAGACUCUUUGCCUGUCAGGAACAUUCCAGAUCUUCCAGAUUACCCCAUUCAUUUCCCCCAACUCUUCAAUCAUGUAACCUCUUCCUCUUAACGUCCAUUCAUGCUUCCAAAGGAAAAAACAGAACAUUGAGAUUUAAUUGAAGAAUUAGUAACAGGUGAUCUAUAUAGAAUAUUAAUGCUCACGUUUUAUUUUCUUUAGGUUGAACAUGCUGCUGCCAUCAACUUCUCUCAGCAUCUGCCUGACGCGAAAUAGUGUUCAAUCCAAGACAUAAUAUUAAUGGUUGAACAGCCUGCAUUUCUGCCUAAAGUUUCCACAACAUGCCUUAGCUGUUAUACUCAUCCCUAAACAGUAAUUUGAAAAUGAUUGAAUUCAAUGGAAGAUGCUCCUUUUAUCAGAAUUUCUCAUAAGAUCAUACAAGUUGUGAACUUUCUAGCAAAACAAAUCUGCCAUUGAAAUUUGCCUUCAGCUCUUGAACACAAAGAGACUUACCCAUAAAAAGACACUUUCUUCAGAACUGCUGGAACCCUGACCUCUCAACUUUGUCCUGGAAGUCAUCACGCCCCAUUCGCCCUUAAACUCUAAGCAAAGACCCUUGAUGAUAAGAACACCCCAUGAUGAUGACUGUACUAGGUACUGUACUUAUGUUGUGUUUUCAUUUAUAUACUCACGUCAUUUAAACACAGAGCACAUUUGUACUGUGUAGUGUGUCAUGCUGAUACAUGAUCAGCUUCAUAUUUCUGUAGAUUGGGAUAUGAAAGCCAAAACCUGAUCCCUGACAACAUACUUUCUUUCUUUCUAUUUCAAUUUGGCUUUGGACAUUUGGUGCAGAACUUUACAAGUACAACAAAGUGCUACUGAGCACUGGAUGAAAUUCUCUAAAUUUGACAUUUAAAUUUGACCAUAAACAGACCCCUCCACAUUUGUUUUUUUUCCUUUCUUUUCUUUUCUUUUUUGAGGUAUAUGUAAACCAUGUGACUGUGUAGUUCCAUUAAAUCUGUGAAAUGUAUGUUUUGUUUGUGAAUGGAACAGGAGAAGUAGAAACAACUGCACUGUGGAACUAAUGCUUUAGACAUUAGCACUGAUUUGCAAUGGGGGCUUACGAAGAAAACAAUUGGGACACUGAUUCAACACUGGUUUAAAACCAGUCAAAACCAACUGUGUUUCUGACUGACAAGGGGUCUGUUGUGUGUAAAUGUUCUCCAUACACAUUUCCACCAAAAAUGUUCUCAAACAGGUCCUCAAGGCUCUCUAGAUGGUUUUGAAGAAUCACUUGAAUGCUUUGCCCAAAGUGUUGGCACAGUGAACUUUGAACACUGGAUUUAGCUCAACUGGCAAUAGCAACGCACUGCCCACUGGAGGCCUGGAGGAAAUGAAACACAAACCUUAUAUUAGAUGGUAAGUGCUGACAAUGAGCAGAGAAACAGCAAGAACACCACUGUUAAUGCAGCUGCUCAUUUUCUUUUAACAUCACCGUUACAGAGAACAUUCUCCUCCCCGAUGCUGUAAAAGGCAUCACUACAGCAGCUCAUAAAGCAACGUAAGCAACCAUUUUGUCAACAGACAUCUCAGAGCUAUGGGGAGCAUAAACCAGACCAAGAAACACAGGAAGUAUCAGUUGCACAAAAUUUUGAGUCCCUCAGAACACUAGAUAGUAAACAUAAACUGAGCUAAUUUAUAUGCUUAUCCUAAAAUAUAACAGUCAUUCAUUGUUCCACAUGUCUUAGCUAGCAAGAAUUAAUGAAAUUUAAAAUUUUAACCCUUUUCUUCAUUUCAAGUCCUUGUCUUAUGUAGCUCGUCUUUAUAUGUCCUAGAUUACAACUGUCUAGAUGUGGUCGAGUAGGAGAGCUGGCCGCAUUCUUGUCAACAAAAACGUCUUUGUACUUUUUGAAAUUAUUUUUUCUUUUUAUUUUUCUCUUGCUGUGUGAGCAUGUUCUGUGUUUUAUCAGCGUUCUGCAGUCAUCUGAACGCUAGAACUCUGGAAAGUGAGGUUCUGUCUGUGGUGCAUGUUUAAUAAACAAGUUGCUGACUUUGUCUGAA